GACGAACGCUGGCGGCGUGCUUAACACAUGCAAGUCGAACGGAAAGGCCCUGCUUUUGUGGGGUGCUCGAGUGGCGAACGGGUGAGUGACACGUGAGUAACCUGCCCUUGACUUUGGGAUAACUUCAGGAAACUGGGGCUAAUACCGGAUAGGAGCUCCUGCUGCAUGGUGGGGGUUGGAAAGUUUCGGCGGUUGGGGAUGGACUCGCGGCUUAUCAGCUUGUUGGUGGGGUAGUGGCUUACCAAGGCCUUGACGGGUAGCCGGCCUGAGAGGGUGACCGGCCACAUUGGGACUGAGAUACGGCCCAGACUCCUACGGGAGACAGCAGUGGGGAAUAUUGCACAAUGGGCGGAAGCCUGAUGCAGCAACGCCGCGUGCGGGAUGACGGCCUUCGGGUUGUAAACCGCUUUCGCCUGUGACGAAGCGUGAGUGACGGUAAUGGGUAAAGAAGCACCGGCUAACUACGUG
rnacentral:rRNA from 1 species